GGGACAAAAUAAAAGACGUUUUCCCCCAAGAAAGAGGUUGGAAGAUGAUUCUUACUUCACGUAAUGAAGGUGUUGGUUUGCAUGCCGACCCAUCAUGUUUUCCCUUUAGAC